rnacentral:ncRNA from 1 species
AAAAUUACAUGGCAAACUUGUCGAAAGAUAAGUACUCAAAGCAAUCAACCAAACGUAUUAACAACUUGCCAUGGUAUCCGUGCUGCUUAC